rnacentral:tRNA from 1 species
GCCCGCCUAGCUCAAUCGGAUAGAGCGUCAGACUAUUCAUCUGAAGGCUGCGAGUUCGACCCUCGCGGUGGGCU